UUUCCCCCCCUACAACAGUGUUGUCCGUUGGUUGGGUGGUUGGGGUGCGGGGGUGGGCGGGGGAAG
rnacentral:pre_miRNA from 1 species